rnacentral:tRNA from 1 species
AAAUGAAGCACAAAAAAGUGAGUUUAGUUUCGGCCUAAACGAUAAGGUGAGACUCCUUAUUCAUUUU